CCUACGGGUGGCUGCAGUGGGGAAUAUUGGACAAUGGGGGCAACCCUGAUCCAGCCAUGCCGCGUGUGUGAAGAAUGCCCUCGGGUUGUAAAGCACUUUCAGUGAGGAAGAACGCCUGGUGGUUAAUACCCAUCAGGAAAGACAUCACUCACAGAAGAAGCACCGGCUAACUCCGUGCCAGCAGCCGCGGUAAUACGGAGGGUGCGAGCGUUAAUCGGAAUUACUGGGCGUAAAGCGCGCGUAGGUGGCUUGAUAAGCCGGUUGUGAAAGCCCCGGGCUCAACCUGGGAACGGCAUCCGGAACUGUCAAGCUAGAGUGCAGGAGAGGAAGGUAGAAUUCCCGGUGUAGCGGUGAAAUGCGUAGAGAUCGGGAGGAAUACCAGUGGCGAAGGCGGCCUUCUGGACUGACACUGACACUGAGGUGCGAAAGCGUGGGUAGCAAACAGGAUUAGAUACCCUUGUAGUC
rnacentral:rRNA from 1 species